rnacentral:misc_RNA from 1 species
UACGUAGGUGGCAAGCGUUACUCGGAAUCACUAGGCGUAAAGCGCGGGUAGGCGGCCCGACAAGUCCGUCGUGAAAGCUCCUGGCUUAACCGGGAGAGGUCGGCGGAAACUAUCGGGCUUGAGUGUGGGAGGGGGUACUGGAAUUCCCGGUGUAGCGGUGAAAUGCGUAGAGAUCGGGAGGAACACCGAUGGCGAAGGCAGGUACCUGGACCAAUACUGACGCUGAGCCGCGAAAGCUAGGGGAGCAAACAGG